GGCCUCUAGCCCAGUCCUGCUUGCUGCUGGAGUGAGGCCCAGUUUUUGUUUGAAGUCACGUUUGCCUAUGAUGGGAAUUCAAGGAGAUUCUGUUGCUGCUGCUGCUGCUGCUGAACUCAAAGUCCGCAGAGAGCUCUCACACUGUACAGGUGCCAAGCCUGAACACAUGUCUGCUGUUCACUGUACGAGGCAAGCUGGAGCCUGAGGGAAGUACAUCCGGGGGAGGCUGCUGUUAAAAGCCUGCGUAGCUCCAUUUCACGUUGAUCUUGCUGAAGCUUUAGCAAACGUCUUCUUGCAGCAUCCUAUUUCCACAACAGUAGACUGCACCUGUCCCUGCUGGGUCAUGUGACCUGCACCUGUGUCCCUGCUGGACCAUGUGACCUGCACCUGUGUCUCUGCUGGACCAUGUGAACUGCACCUGUGUCUCUGCUGGACCAUGUGAACUGCACCUGUGUCUCUGCUGGACCAUGUGACCUGCACCUGUGUCUCUGAUGGGUCAUGUGACCUGCACCUGUGUCUCUGAUGGGUCAUGUGGACUGCACCUGUGUCUCUGAUGGGUCAUGUGAACUGCACCUGUGUCUCUGCUGGGCCAUCUUCUCCUCCUCUUGAAGAAGCAUCUCUCUUCUUGUCUCCUCAGCUCUACGGAGCAUCUCUUGCUUCUGGUACCACGCCUCAUCCUUAGCUCUCUGCUCAUCCACUUCAGCUUGCAUAUUUUCAACUGUCUGCCUUAAGUAGACACAAUGUUUACUAUUAUGAAAAUGCAAACAAGA
rnacentral:lncRNA from 1 species